UACGAAGGGGGCUAGCGUUGUUCGGAAUCACUGGGCGUAAAGCGCUUGUAGGCGGCUCGUUAAGUCAGGGGUGAAAUCCCGAGGCUCAACCUCGGAACUGCCUUUGAUACUGGCGAUCUUCGAGUCCGGGAGAGGUGAGUGGAACUCCGAGUGUAGAGGUGAAAUUCGUAGAUAUUCGGAAGAACACCAGUGGCGAAGGCGGCUCACUGGCCCGGUACUGACGCUUAGGAGCGAAAGCGUGGGGAGCAAACAGG
rnacentral:rRNA from 1 species